rfam:Gossypium raimondii chromosome 9, whole genome shotgun sequence.
CACAUCAGCGCGCUUUGCUGAUGUGGACACAAAUCGCGCUGACGUGGACGCAAUUUGUUGCCACGUCAUCAAAGCGCAUUGACGUGG